rnacentral:rRNA from 1 species
AAUCAACGCUGGCGGCGUGCCUAACACAUGCAAGUCGCGCGCGAAAGGGGGGCAACCCCGAGUAAAGCGGCGAACGGGUGAGUAACACGUGGGUAAUCUACCUUCGAGUGGGGAACGAACAUCGGGAAACUGGUGCUAAUUCCGCAUGACAUCGUCGGGGCUUCGGUUCCGACGCUCGAAAGCUGGGGAUCGUAAGACCUAGCGCUUGAAGAUGAGCCCGCGUCCGAUUAGCUAGUUGGCGGGGUAAUAGCCCACCAAGGCUCCGAUCGGUAGCCGGCCUGAGAGGGCGGACGGCCACACUGGAACUGAGACACGGUCCAGACUCCUACGGGAGGCAGCAGUGGGGAAUUUUUCGCAAUGGGGGCAACCCUGACGAAGCAACGCCGCGU